AUACGGAGGGUGCAAGCGUUAUUCUGAAUCACUGGGCGUAAAGGACGCGUAGGCGGGUUGGCAAGUCAGAUGUGAAAUCCUACAGCUUAACUGUAGAACUGCAUUUGAAACUGCUAACCUAGAGUAUGGGAGGGGGAGAUGGAAUUAGUGGUGUAGGGGUAAAAUCCGUAGAUAUCACUAGGAAUACCGAAAGCGAAGGCGAUCUCCUGGAACAUAACUGACGCUAAGGCGUGAAAGCGUGGGGAGCAAACAGGAUUAGAAACCCUAGUAGUCC
rnacentral:rRNA from 1 species